ACUCUUGGACUGAAUCCAGAGGACAAGAAAAUGAAGAUGGCAUGUCCAACUCUUGGACCAAGAGAGAGAGAGAUGAAGAGAGAGGCAUCCAACCCUUUGGAUGUGUGGAAGGGCAGCGAAAGAGAGGUGAGGCAUCCCACAAGAAGUGGUGUGGACACUAGAGCCAUCAGAAGUCGGCGACAUAAUUUGGAUUUGAUUUGGAUCGAAGAAGCCCCAUU
rnacentral:lncRNA from 1 species